UUAAAUGUUAUGAUGGAGAGAGUAUGUGUCAAAUGACUUUUCAGAGAGGAAGUAUCAUGGCUGAAAGUACUUCCAAAGCUCUAGACACAGAAGUUCACUCCUGAACAAAUAGGCUGAAAUAUAUAAGUAAGCUUAUUCGGGAUUACCGUUAAAUAAGUUAAGUGGCAUAAUUUUAUUAUAAAACUAUGCUAUUAGGGUGGUACCACGGAAAGACUUCGUCCCUUGC
rnacentral:ncRNA from 1 species